rnacentral:tRNA from 1 species
GCUGGCGUUGGUGCUGGUGUUGGUGCUGGUACUGGUGAUAACGGUACUGGUGUUGGUGGUGCUGUUCCUGGUGCCGUUCCAGGUGCCGUUCC